rnacentral:rRNA from 1 species
UACGUAGGGGGCAAGCGUUGUCCGGAUUUAUUGGGCGUAAAGAGCGUGUAGGCGGCCUGAAAGGUCAGCUGUGAAAACUCGAGGCUCAACCUCGAGACGUCGGUUGAAACCAUCUGGCUAGAGUCCGGAAGAGGAGAGUGGAAUUCCCGGUGUAGCGGUGAAAUGCGCAGAUAUCGGGAAGAACACCCGUGGCGAAGGCGGCUCUCUGGGACGGUACUGACGCUGAGACGCGAAAGCGUGGGGAGCCGAACAGG